CGGUGCCACCCCAAUCCCUUGGGGUAGGCCAAAAGGGAACCCGGUGUGAAUCCGGGACUGUCGCGCAGCGGUAUUGGGGAACGAAGGCUACAGGUGCUCAGCACAGGCACUGUCCGAAGGGAUGGGAAGCCGUAGCCGUAGGUGGGUUGAGUCUUUUAUCACAGGAAGGCCGGCACCCUCGCCCCUAAGUCCGAAUACCUGACCGGAGUG
rnacentral:ncRNA from 1 species